GCCGCUCUGUUGUUCAGAGUUAUUAAAUGAGACAUCACGUAGUAAAAGUAAAACCCUUAGAAAACCAAGUUGUUAUCCUCAGUGUUUCCCUUAGCUUCAAAGAUACAUUAAAUAAUUCAAGCUACUAGCGCAUUCAAAUAAUUAAUUUUUUCAAUUUAUAUAAGGGACAUAUCAUGUCUAAUAAAACAACUGGUUCUGUAAAAUGGUUCAACGAAACUAAAGGUUUUGGUUUCCUAACUCAAGACAACGGCGGCGCAGACGUAUUCGUUCACUUCCGUGCAAUCGUUUCUGACGGUUUCAAAACUCUUGCUGAAGGUCAAAAAGUGACUUUCGAAGUAGAGCAAGGCCAAAAAGGUCUUCAAGCUGCUAACGUUGAAGUAGCAUAAGAUUUUAAGUAGGCGCAGGCUGUAGGAGACUACGGCUUGCGUCA
rfam:Vibrio sp. EJY3 chromosome 2, complete sequence.